rnacentral:rRNA from 1 species
UACGAAGGGGGCUAGCGUUGCUCGGAAUUACUGGGCGUAAAGCGCACGUAGGCGGCUUCUAAGUCAGGGGUGAAAUCCUGGAGCUCAACUCCAGAACUGCCUUUGAUACUGGAAAGCUUGAGUUCGGGAGAGGUGAGUGGAACUGCGAGUGUAGAGGUGAAAUUCGUAGAUAUUCGCAAGAACACCAGUGGCGAAGGCGGCUCACUGGCCCGGUACUGACGCUGAGGUGCGAAAGCGUGGGGAGCAAACAGG